rnacentral:misc_RNA from 1 species
UGCCCAUGGAUGGCUACUGAGUGAA